UCAGUCCAAAGUCCAGCAGUCGUCCCUCCUGGAAUCCGUUGGCUUGACUCCGGCAUUUUUGGCCCUUGCCUUUUAGGGUGGCCAGAUUAAGACAGGAUGCCCAGUUAGUUUGAAUUUUAGAUAAACAACGAAGAAUUUCUUAGCAUAAAUAUGUCCCAAGCUUAGUUUGGGACAUACUUAUGCUAAAAAGUAUUAUUGGUGGUUUAUCUGAGAUUCAAAAGUAAGCUUAUAUUUAUAUAAGCUUAUAUAUUUUAUAUUUUAUUUGCUAUGUCUGGCCACCCUCCUCUCUUCCUAAUACUCUCUCCCUCUCCCAGUUUUGUCCGCCUUCCCUGCCCCCUCUUCUGGGGGAGUUGGAUCGAGCUGUAACAGAACAUGCCACUGUCUCACUGGCUGCAGCGGUGUGGUCCCCUCACCAGAGUGAGGAUGCAAAGAGAAGGUGGCUGUCUGCAAACCAGGAAGAGAGCGCUCACCAGGAACCAUCCAACUGCCACCUUGAACUUGGACUUCCAAGCCUCCAGAACUGUGAGGGAUAAAUGUAUGAUUUUAAAGUCAA